rnacentral:lncRNA from 1 species
GUCGAUGCACGUGCGCUCGGCAGUUGGUACUCGCUAGCUUGCUUCCAAAACGUACCUUACAGAAUAGCGUAGUAUGUAUGUAUGACGGAAUCGCGGUGAUCGGUCGCUUCGCCAUUAUGACCAUAAAAUCCAUUCAAAAUAAACUUCUUUCCUUAUCAAUAACAUUUUAAUGAACUUAAACAUCAAAGUAAAUGUAUAUGUAUCUUUAAAACUUGUCUAACUAUAAUUUGUCAAAGUUUGCGCACUGGUUAAAAAUAUUCCACUAUGUAAAAGAAAAUCGUUUUUUUUAUCCUACUUAUACACAUGUAAAUCAUUUCACCAUUGGCUGUAUUGCUUAAGCUGAAAAUGAGAAAGGAGGAAAGCAGUUAUCCCGGGACGCGAGCGAAAUCACGGGCGGAAGUUAGUUUGUUAUACAACUUACCCUAUGUCUUAAUGACAUUCUUCUUCUCCUGCCCUGUCUCCAAAUCAGGAAUUUCUCUCUGUCAGCCGACAUACCAUCCAGUCUCUUCUUAUUCGUUUCUUGUAUGAAGCAGUCAAUUUAUCUUUUUGUGUCUAUAUGACAUUAUACCUAUUAUAGUGGGAGAGCCACGCUGUGCUAAGCUCUGGUACUUGUCACAGCACACUCGGGGCAGGCUCGACCGGGGAAGUACCACGCUCUCACGCGCAGCGCCCGAUGCCGACGCUCUGUCGCUGCCAACCGCUGCCGUGACGAGUUCCGAGUGCCCAACCUGCCCGGAAUAUCUAACAUGUUCCGGGGAGGGUUACAGGUGAUAAGCCAUCAGCCACUCUGUGAGUGGCUGAUCUGAUUGGUCACUUAUCACGUUUGUCACCUGUUUAUUUUGUCCACGGAAGCAAAUGGCAAGCUUGGAUUUUCUGUCGUCGACGUCGUAAAAUAUAACGAUGGGUAGGGAUAUAUUUGUCUUAUGACAAUAACAUAUUGGUUUAUUGGUCUCGAGUUGUUUCUGUUCGUGCCAAGAUUUAUAUACAGGAUCUUUAAAGCAGUGCGCAAAAAAAUUAAGUUCAGAAUCAGUAAGAGAACAUUAUUAUCUACAUUAUGAGUAAAAAAAAAAUAUUUCGUAACCGCGCUAAAAUCUUUUGAGAGAGACCCAUGUAGUCGAUGCACGUGCGCUCGGCAGUUGGUACUCGCUAGCUCGCUUCCAAAAGGUACCUUACAGAAUAACGUAGUAUAAAUGUAUGACGGAAUCGCGGUGAUCGGUCGCUUCGCCAUUAUGACCAUAAAAUCUAUUCAAAAUAAACUUCUUUCCUUAUCAAUAACUAUUUUAUGUACUUAAACAUCAAAGUAUAUGUAUCUUUAAAACUUGUCUAACUAUAAUUUGUCAAAGUUUGCGCACUGGUUAAAAAUAUUCCAAUACACAAAAGAAAAUCGUUUUAUUUAUACUACUUAUAGGGACGCGGGUGAAACCACGGGCAGAAGUUAGUUUGUUGUACAACUUUAUGUCUAUAUGACAUUCUUCUUUUUCCUGCCCUGUUUCCAAAUCAGGUAUUUCUCUCUGUCAGCCGACAUACCAUUCAGUCUCUUCUUAUUCGUUUCUUGUAUGAAGCAGUCAAUUUAUAUUUUUGUGUCUAUAUGACAUAACACUUUUAUAGUGGGAGAGCCACGCUGUGCUAAGCUCUGGUACUUGUCACAGCACUCUCGGGGCAGGCUCGACCGGGGAAGUACCACGCUCUCACGCGCAGCGCCCGAUGCCGACGCUCUGUCGCUGCCAACCGCUGCCGUGACGAGUUCCGAGUGCCCAACCUGCCCGGAAUAUCUAACAUGUUCCGGGGAGGGUUACAGGUGACAAGCCAUCAGCCACUCUGUGAGUGGGUGAUCUGAUUGGUCACUUAUCACGUUUGUCACCUGUUUAUUUUGUUCACGGAAGCAAAUGGCAAGCUUGGGUUUUCUGUUGUAGAUUC